GACGAACGCUGGCGGCGUGCCUAAUACAUGCAAGUAGAACGCAGUUGCGAACGGGUGAGUAACGCGUAGGUAACUGCCUCAUAGCGGGGGAUAACUAUUGGAAAAGAUAGCUAAUACCGCAUACUGUGAGAUGGACCUGUGUUGUAUUUGGUAGGUGGUGGGGUAAAGGCUCACCAAGGCGACGAUACAUAGCCGACCUGAGAGGGUGCUCGGCCAACAUGGGAAUGGGGACCGGCCCCAACUCCUACGGGAAGCAGCAGUAGGGAAUCUUCGGCCAUUGACGGAAGUCUGACCGAGCAACGCCGCGUGAGUGCAGAAGGUUUUCGGAUCGUAAAGCUCUGUUGUUAGAGAAGCGGUAACUAUCCAGAAAGGAACGGCUAACUACGUGCCAGCAGCCGCGGUAAUUC
rnacentral:rRNA from 1 species